rnacentral:rRNA from 1 species
CAGUCGCCGCGGGAACACAGAGGGUGCGAGCGUUAAUCGGAUUUACUGGGCGUAAAGCGUGCGUAGGCGGCUUCUUAAGUCGGAUGUGAAAUCCCUGAGCUUAACUUAGGAAUUGCAUUCGAUACUGGGAAGCUAGAGUAUGGGAGAGGAUGGUAGAAUUCCAGGUGUAGCGGUGAAAUGCGUAGAGAUCUGGAGGAAUACCGAUGGCGAAGGCAGCCAUCUGGCCUAAUACUGACGCUGAGGUACGAAAGCAUGGGGAGCAAACAGGAUUAGAUACCCGUGUAGUCCCUGUCUCUUAUAA